rnacentral:rRNA from 1 species
AUUGAACGCUGGCGGCAUGCCUUACACAUGCAAGUCGAACGCGAAAGGGGGCAACCCCGAGUAGAGUGGCGAACGGGUGAGCAAUACAUCGGAACACGUCCUGUAGCGGGGGACAACCUCGAGAAAUCGAGGCUAAUACCGCAUACGAUCUACGGAUGAAAGUGGGGGACCGCAAGGCCCCACACUAUAGGAGUGGCCGAUGCCGGAUUAGCUAGUUGGCGGGGUAAUAGCCCACCAAGGCUACGAUCCGUAGCUGGUUUGAGAGAACGACCAGCCACACUGGGACUGAGACACGGCCCAGACUCCUACGGGAGGCAGCAGUGGGGAAUUUUGGACAAUGGGCGAAAGCCUGAUCCAGCCAUGCCGCGUGAGUGAAGAAGGCCUUCGGGUUGUAAAGCUCUUUCGGCGGGGACGAAAUGGCGCGGGGUAACAUCCCGCGUCGAAGACGGUACCCGAAGAAGAAGGACCGGCUAACUACGUGCCAGCCGCCGCGGUAACAC